CUAAUCUACCUCAAAGCGCGGGAUAACGUGUCGAAAGACAGGCUAAUACCGCAUAAGCUCCCGAUCUGUAGAGGGUUGGGAGAAAAGGCGUAAGUCACUUUGAGAUGAGGCUGCGGCCCAUCAGCUAGUUGGUGCGGUAACGGCGUACCAAGGCGACGACGGGUAGGGGACCUGAGAGGGUGACCCCCCACACUGGGACUGAGACACGGCCCAGACUCCUACGGGAGGCAGCAGUGAGGAAUAUUGCACAAUGGGCGAAAGCCUGAUGCAGCGACGCCGCGUGGGUGAAGAAGGUUUUCGGAUCGUAAAACCCUUUUCUGUGUGACGAGCAAGGACGGUAGCACAGGAAUAAGUCUCGGCUAACUACGUGCCAGCAGCCGCGGUAAAACGUAGGAGACAAACGUUAUCCGGAGUUACUGGGCGUAAAGGGCGUGUAGGUGGUUUUGUAAGUCUGGCGUGAAAUAUCUCGGCUUAACCGGGACAGGUCGUCGGAUACUGCAGAACUAGAGGACGGUAGAGGCGUGUGGAAUUCCGGGUGUAGUGGUGAAAU
rnacentral:rRNA from 1 species